rnacentral:rRNA from 1 species
UACGUAGGGGGUAAGCGUUGUUCGGAAUUACUGGGCGUAAAGGGCUCGUAGGCGGCCAACUAAGUCAUACGUGAAAUCCCUCAGCUUAACUGGGGAACUGCGUGUGAUACUGGAUGGCUUGGAUUUGGGAGAGGGAUGCGGAAUUCCAGGUGUAGCGGUGAAAUGCGUAGAUAUCUGGAGGAACACCGGUGGCGAAGGCGGCAUCCUGGACCAAUAUUGACGCUGAGGAGCGAAAGCCAGGGGAGCAAACGGG